rnacentral:rRNA from 1 species
AUUGAACGCUGGCGGAAUGCUUUACACAUGCGAGUCGAACGAUGAAGCCUAGCUUGCUAGGUCGAUUAGUGGCGAACGGGUGAGUAAUAUAUCGGAACGUAUCCAAUAAUGGGGGAUAACUAGUCGAAAGAUUGGCUAAUACCGCAUACGUCCUACGGGAGAAAGCUGGGGAUCGUAAGACCUGGCGUUAAUGGAGCGGCCGAUAUCCGAUUAGCUAGUUGGUGAGGUAAAGGCUCACCAAGGCGACGAUCAGUAGCUGGUCUGAGAGGACGACCAGCCACACUGGAACUGAGACACGGUCCAGACUCCUACGGGAGGCAGCAGUGGGGAAUUUGGACAAUGGGCGAAAGCCUGAUCCAGCCAUUCCGCGUGAGUGAAGAAGGCCUUCGGGUUGUAAAGCUCUUUCGCAAGGGAAGAACACUUACUUAAUAACACUAAGUGAGGUUGACGGUACCUUGAUAAGAAGCACCGGCUAACUACGUGCCAGCAGCCGCAGUAA